rnacentral:lncRNA from 1 species
CAGAAAACGGACCUGGAGCCAAGAACCGGGCUCUACCGAUUGCCGAAAGUGAUAACUCGGCAAUGCGACCGCACGAAAGUGUUGUCGGAGCACCGUCGGCGUCUCUGGCUCGCUCGCAUCAACAGAAAGGGCCUCAAGAACCUGGAUUACCUCCGUGUAUGCGGUCGGCGUUUCAUCUCAGGACAGCCAGCGAGUCUAAUGGACAACACAAACCCGGAUUGGGUGCCGAGCCAACACUUGGGAUACAGCAACCGCACAGCACCGGGCGUUAACUCUACUUCUCGGUACAAGCGCGCCAAAAAUCGGCUG